CCGCGAAUGGCUCAUUACAACAGCUAUAAUUUACUUGAUGUUGACUAUCCUACUUGGAUAACUGCGGUAAUUCUGGAGCUAAUACAUGCAUCAAAGCUCUGACACCCUCGGAGCGCAUUUAUUAGAACAAAACCAAUCGGCUUUGGCCGUUUGUUGUUGACUCUGAAUAACUUAGCUGAUCGCAUGGUCUUGUACCGGCGACAUAUCUUUCAAGUAUCUGCCUUAUCAACUUUCGAUGGUAGUUUAUGUGCCUACCAUGGUUGCAACGGGUAACGGAAAAUAAGGGUUUGAUUCCGGAGAGGGAGCCUGAGAAACGGCUACCACAUCUAAGGAAGGCAGCAGGCGCGCAAAUUACCCACUGGAGGUGCUCCGAGGUAGUGACUAACAAUAACGAGACCGUCUUCUAUGAGGCCGGUUAUCGGAAUGGGUACAAUUUAAACCCUUUAACGAGGAUCUAUGAGAGGGCAAGUCUGGUGCCAGCAGCCGCGGUAAUUCCAGCUCUCAAGGUGUAUAUCCCUAUUGCUGCGGUUAAAAAGCUCGUAGUUGGAUCUCCGCCUCAGGACGUGGUCCGCCUUUAGGUGUGUACUGCGAUCCUAGGCAGUUACUGCUGGUUUUCAGCCGGUGGCCUUAACUGGUUGCCGGUUGUGGCUAGCGAGUUUACCUUGAGUAAAUCAGAUUGCUCAAGAAAGGCGUUUCGCCUGAAUGUUUGUGCAUGGAAUAAUGGAAUAGGACUUCGGUUCUGUUUUGUUGGUUUUCUGAACUGAAGUAAUGAUUAAGAGGAACAGACGGGGGCAUUCGUAUCGCUGCGUGAGAGGUGAAAUUCUUGGACCGCAGCGGGACGCCCAACAGCGAAAGCAUUUGCCAAGAAUGUUUUCAUUAAUCAAGAACGAAAGUCAGAGGAUCGAAGGCGAUC
rnacentral:rRNA from 1 species